rnacentral:lncRNA from 1 species
AUUUUGAUUGCCUUUGAUAAACACCAUAACAAUAGAUAACGAUAGAUUGACACUUGGUCUCUGUGGAUUCGACAAUCUUUUAUAUUACUCUGACGCGUUCGUAUACUUGCGAAACACCGCAUCAAGUUUUUGGCGCCGUUGCCGGGGACCAAUUUCGUCAAAUUUCAUUUUCCUAUUGUUAUAUCGUUUAGACUUAGGCUAUUUCCCGCCGGUCAAUGCGAAGAACUCGC